AAGCGGCGUUGGCCAGUUUUGCUGUUUUAACUCGCCGUCCAUUGUAUCUAGUAGUUCCGAAUUUUGCUUUUGUUUAAACAAUUUUCUUUCUCCUAUUUCGUAAAAUUUGGUCUGAUUGGGCUCUAUUGCGUUUCAAUUCUUAGAU
rnacentral:sRNA from 1 species